rnacentral:rRNA from 1 species
UACGUAGGGGGCAAGCGUUAUCCGGAUUUACUGGGUGUAAAGGGGGCGCAGACGGCGAUGCAAGCCAGGAGUGAAAGUCCGGGGCCCAACCCCGGGACUGCUCUUGGAACUGCGUGGCUGGAGUGCAGGAGGGGCAGGCGGAAUUCCUGGUGUAGCGGUGAAAUGCGUAGAUAUCAGGAGGAACACCGGUGGCGAAGGCGGCCUGCUGGACUGCAACUGACGUUGAGGCCCGAAAGCGUGGGGAGCAAACAGG